CCUACGGGAGGCUGCAGUAGGGAAUUUUCGGCAAUGGGGGGAACCCUGACGGAGCAACGCCGCGUGUAUGAAGAAGUUAUUCGUGAUGUAAAGUUCUUUCAACAGGGAAGAAGGAGAAAUUUGACGGUACCUGAAGAAUAAGCUCCGGCUAACUACGUGCCAGCAGCCGAGUUAAUACGUAGGGAGCCAGCGUUAUCCGGAAUUAUUGGGCGUAAAGGGUGCGUAGAUGGCAGAGUAAGUGUAUUGUAAAAAUGCUGGUCUAAACCCAGUAGGGCAAAAGAUACUGGAAGGCUAGAGUAUCACAGAGGGAAGUAGAACUACAGGUGUAGCGGUAAAAUGCGUAAAGAUAUGUAAGAAUACCAGUGGCGAAGGCGGCUUCCUGGGUCGAUACUGACGUUGAGGCGCGAAAGCGUGGGGAGCAAACAGGAUUAGAUACCCGAGUAGUC
rnacentral:rRNA from 1 species